rnacentral:lncRNA from 1 species
AGCUUUCGGUCUGUAUAGCACGGCCAGGCCCAGGUCACUAAGCGGAUGUAAGACCAGCCCAGAGCAAAGGUACAGAUAGAUGUAAGUGUGUGGUUCCCUUAAGUGCCCUUAGAUGUUGACAGGAGCUCAGAGGACCCAAAACGACUGUGUUUGGGGACCCUGGCUGGCAACCCCCAGCCUCAUCCUUCUAUGGCUGAGAUCAUCCAUCUGCCGGAGCACUGGGUGCUGGAUCACGGAGUCCCGCUUCCGACCACACAUGCACCCCCCACCCCGAGGGCACCGUUCUUGCCAAAGUGUGUCGGUUCCCAGUGUCACCCAACAUCACGAACAACCCCCGGAAGAGAAGCACUGGCAGGUCCCGGGGCUCUGAGCUCUGCAUUCCACGUUCCCACCUUCGUUUUCCAUCCUCUCUGAUUCCUGGAAUCCUGCUUUAUCUCUACCUCGAACUCUCCUAUAUUUUCCUGGUUUUGUGAGAAGUCAUCCGAAAUGCUAUUUUGGAAGGAGGCACAUCUUUACAGGAGGGAGAUGAUCUGAGAGUCAAAACUCUGGUUUCGAGCCCUGGGUGAUCCACGCUAAACUGCUUAAGUCUGAAAACUCUGGAAUUCUGCCUGGCUCCACCAGAUGCUGACAGAUUCUUUGUUCUGCAUCUUCUGAGUUUGCUUUAUUUUCUCUUUAUUUUUAUGAGGAGAAGGCACGUGGUCAUCAAGGGCUUACUCGGGGUAGGUCAUUCAUUGAAUCGUCAGGACAGUCCUGUGCGUAGGUGUACAGGUGAAGCAUAGGAAAUGGCCGUUAGCAUUAGUCAAAAGUGAUCAAAGAGUAGCAAUCUCAUAUGGGUCUACCUAAUAUUUUCUUUUUCUUUCAUUCUUUUUUUUUUUUAAAGGACGCACCCCCCCGGCACAUGGACGUUCCCAGGUUAGGGGUCAUAUUGGAGCUACAGUCGCCAGCAAUGCCAGAUCUGAGCUGCAUCUGUGACCUACACCAUAGCUCAUGGCAACACUGGAUCCUUAACCCACUGAGCGAGGCCAGGGAUCAAACCCACAUCCUCAUGGAUAUUAGUUGGAUUCGUUAUUGCUGAGCCACAGCGGGAACUCCAUACCUAAUAUUUUCAUCCUCUUUAUGUAGAUGACAAAACAGUGGCACAAAGAGAUCAAGCAAUCUGGCCAAAGUCACACAGCUAGCAAGUGGCAGAGCCAGGAUUCAGGCCCAGGGGUUCUGGCUCCAGGGUCUGGAUCUCAACCCCUCACUCAGUGUGCAUCUGAACAGGCUUGAGACCAAGGUGGUCCUUCAAAGCCCAGGAAUAACUUUGGGGUUUGCUAGAAAUGAGACCAAGUGCAGACCAAGACACAGGCUAUCAGAGAUCCAGGGAACUUAUGAGAUUCCCAGAAUCCAGCUUUCUGUAGCCAUGUUCUGCUAAAUUUCCUGGCACGAGCUGUUUAGACUGAUGACCCGAAGCCCCUGAACACCACCGAAACAUCAAAGGAAAUCCAGAUGUGUUCCAAGUUGUGUUUUCUAGGGUGGAAGAGGGUACAUUUCCAAAUGAAUUUCUGUAAAGGUUGAUGUGAAAAAGUACUCUGCUCACCCAGAGCGCAGCCCGGAGCACCAAGGCUAACUAGACCUCGGUGUCUUAAGAGGCUGCAGCCGGGUCAGCACCCUGGGGCCCGAGUCGUGGCUGGUGGGGCCAGGUCUUUGCCACAGCACUUACCUGGAGGCUUCCCCUAACAGAAGAUCCUAUCCCAGAAACCCAUCUCCCUGCAUAUCUGGACCGACCUGAGGACUUGCGGGUGAAAUAUGAAACCAGUGAGGCUGUGUCCCCGUGCCUUCCGGCAGAUCACAUCUCUCCUUUGCCUCUUCCUGAGCUGGAGGCCAGGAGACAGAACUAGGCUGAAAGACAGGACCAGGGGUCCUUUAGCUCCCUCCUCCUUUUAGGAUCGUGAUGCAUUGGGCUCGAUAGUGAAAAUUGAAUUUAUGUGUGCAUGUGACCACGUGCACCUGUGUGUUUAAUGAAUUAGGUGCUGUUAUGUAAGGUGCAGGGGUAGGGGUUGCUCCCCAGAAGGCUUUCUGGAUUAGCCCCCUUGGACCCCCUACCCCUCCCCUUGCACGUAUGUGCUCCGUUGGCCGUGCGUGACGUGUGUGUGCGUGUGCGCUGACAUGGUCCUUGUGAUCGUGAGGGUCCCGCCAGUCCUCCUGGGAUAGCGUCUGUGCCUUCUGUUGCCCUGAUCCCCCUCCGCACACGCCUGGUACAAAGCAGGUAAUGGCUGACAGUUGCCAAGUGCUGGGUCGUGUGCCUCGGAGAUGCCCAACCCCCUAGGUUCAUUGGUGGAUUCGGCACAUAUUGGGGAGCUGGUGGGAUGUCACGUUACGGGGGGCAGAGCCGUGUUGCUGGGGGUCUUCCGGAGACUCCCAAGCUUGCAGGGCUGGCUCUGGGGGUGCUGGGUGACCGUCAACGUGCUGGUGAUGGAGUGGCUCUGACACCUAUAGCAGACGGGCAGGGCUGUGCUGACAGCGCUGCUCACAGGACUAGGUGGUUGGCACAGCUCUCUGCGGAGAUCACUCGUCUGUGUCCAGACAUGGUUUUAAUUCUCCUGCUAAAUGCCCUGUCACUUGGAAUCGAGAUUGUGUCUGCAGCAAGGCCCGGGACAACGACGUUAAUUUAUCAUCUGGAAUCUUUAGUGAGAUCCAGUCUAUCCUUUAUGAUCCUCGAGGCUACGCUUUCCUGAACUGCUCCAUUUCUCUCCCGUUCCUCCCAAUUAGCUGUAGAUUAAUGGCGAUGCUGGUCAGCCCCUCUGUCCUUGGAGAGCUUCCAGGCUGUUCUUCCCUGGAGCUGCCCAGUCUGCUGCAUCAGCGUCUGGUUCUGAGGAGGGAAGACUGAGCCUGGGGUUUGUGCCUCUGGGGGACCCGUGAGCAGCCAGCGGCCACUCCUUCUGGGCCACCUCUCUGGGCGGGAGGGGGUGUGAACAGGUGUGCACAGGAUACGUCGGGAGAUGAGUGUGUCUGUCUGCAUGUGACUGGUGUCUGUGUGUCUCUGAGUCCAGCCUUGUAAGUGGCAGGUGUUGACAUAUAUCCAGAUGCUCCUGAAGUGUCUCAGGUCCGGGGAGCCAAGGGGGAGAAGGAGGCUGGCGUGUGGCAGGUCGCACGUGUGAGCCAGGCCAUUCCAGAGGAGCACAGGGGCUGGAGACGGUGCCUACCUGGUGCCCUACCUGGUGCUGCUGAUCAUCAUUGGGAUCCCGCUCUUCUUCCUGGAGCUGGCUGUGGGCCAGAGGAUCCGCCGCGGCAGCAUCGGCGUGUGGCACUACGUGUGCCCCCGCCUGGGUGGCAUCGGCUUCUCCAGCUGCAUAGUCUGCCUCUUUGUCGGGCUGUAUUAUAAUGUGAUCAUCGGGUGGAGCAUCUUCUACUUCUUCAAGUCCUUCCAGUACCCGCUGCCCUGGAGUGAGUGCCCUGUCAUCAGGAAUGGGACCGUGGCAGUGGUGGAGCCAGAGUGUGAGAAGAGCUCAGCCACUACCUACUUCUGGUACCGAGAGGCCUUGGACAUCUCCAACUCCAUCUCGGAGAGCGGGGGCCUCAACUGGAAGAUGACCCUGUGCCUCCUCGUGGCCUGGAGCAUCGUGGGCAUGGCUGUGGUCAAGGGCAUCCAGUCCUCAGGGAAGGUGAUGUAUUUCAGCUCCCUCUUCCCCUACGUGGUGCUGGCCUGCUUCCUGGUCCGGGGGCUGCUGCUGCGAGGGGCCAUUGACGGCAUCCUCCACAUGUUCACGCCCAAGGUAAGGGUCUCGGGCUCCUGGGGAGCACAGCAGCUCCCUGGGCCUUGUCCAUUUCACCCGCUUCAACAGCCACUGAGGACCUGCUGAGUGGCAGGCGCCGUGUCGGGCACUGGAGGGAGGGGCGAGGGAAAGGCGCAUGGGCCCUGCCCUCACGGUCCCACAUCAGUGUGGGUGAAAUCCGAAGAAGCUUCGGGGAGCAGAUGACAUCUGAAACGAGCCUUAGGGAGCAGAUAGGAUUUCAGGGGCAGCGGUAGGAUGAUGCAAAGGAAUCGUAUGAGCAGGUGUGGAAAAGCACUGGGCCUGCUUGGAAGUCAAGUUUGGCUGGGGUGUGGGGGCGGGGAGGGGCAUUCAUUGCACCAAGAAGAUGCUAAAGAGGAGAAAAAUCCCUGGGAAUCCCAGCUUGUAUCCAAACCAGGGGCAUGAGGUUAGUAUCUUAUUAAAGGUAAAAGCCACAUGCGUGAAGCCGCCUGCAUCUCCUCUCAUGUAAUCCCUCCGUAGCCCAGUGAGGGUCCAGCAGCACCGCAGUGCUCGGCUCGCAGGGUGGCCUCAGGGGCGCAGGCAUCCUGAAGAUGGACACCCAGUUUCCUAAUGGUGGCCCUGCCUGUCUAUUGCCCUUCAGACCACUGGGCACAGCUGGCAGGAGCCAGCCCACUGAGGAAUAGGAGAAUCUCAGGUGCAGGUUGGCAUGCGCUUCAGGGCAACCCCGAGCAAAGUGCCAUGGUCACCCUGGCGGGCGAGCUGGAAAGUUCAGCUCUCAAUACUGCCAUCUCAUGCAUAUGCAUGCUCGAACACACACACACACACACACACACACACACACACACACACACGCUUACACGGAAAGUUUAUACAAAUGACACAAGGAGAAGAAUCCAGAUCUUGUGGGGUUGGGAAUCCUUUUCCCUCCCAAUCCCCCUGCUCUGCAGCUGCACACAGCUCCUGGUGUCUGGCGGUGGCGGCAGGCAGGACUCACCAUCUGUGUUCUCCAGGCGGGACAUAGCUGGCCCUCGGUGUUCUUAGAUGUGACAUCUGAGGUUUCUAGGUGAAUAAUCAGAGAGGCCCGUUUUACGAAGGACUUAGUGAAUUUCCUGGAGGCGUGAGUGUGACUCGAGAGCCGCUUGGCUGGAGAAGGGUUGUGGUGACCAUGUGAUGUCUGACAAAGAAGAGAAACAUGCAAAUCCGAUUUCUUUGGGGUGGGCGGGAAACCGCCACGAGAAGAAAGCCGAGGGUUUUUAUGAAUGAAUUCGACUGUAUUUCUAGAAUCGUGGUCAGCCUAGUGUGUUCCCUGGAGUCUUUCCGUUAUGCUUUGUUGAACUUUAUGAGGAAAUCGUAUCCUCUGGAGAUGUUCAUAAAUGCGGAGCUUCGCACAGGUCUCCGGAUGCGCCCCUGGGUGGUUUUAACAGAGCCUGGAACCGAUUCAGGAGAGGGGCUGCCAGUCCCAGCACAUGCAGAGCUGCUCCCCUUCUGAUUCAGACACUCCUUUUUUCUCCCCCCUUUUUAGGGCCACGCCCCCAGUAUAUGGAGAUUCCCAGGCUAGAGGUCUAAUCAGAGCUGCAGCCGUCGGCCUACGCCACGGCCACAGCAAUGUGGGAUCCGAGCCAUGUCUGCAGCCUACACCACAGCUCAUGGCAAUGCUGGAUCCUUAACCCACUGAGAAAGGCCAGGGAUCAAACCCACAUCCUCAUGGAUCCUAGUCGGGUUCGUUAACUGCUGAGCCACGACAGGAACCCCCUGCUUCAGACACUCUUUAAGACAUUUUUUUAAAGUGAAACCACUCAGACAUAUAAACACAUUAUAAUAAUAUAAUAAACAUUUUUAAGGAAAUAAAAUAUUACAGAGGCCAUAAAAGUACCUAUGGAGCCAGCUCUCAUCCCAUUCCCUUCCCUUCCCUAAAAUAACCACUAUCUUGAAUUGGGGUUUAGCCUGCUAAUGCUUUAUUUAAAAUUUGUAAUACAUGUAUGCGUAUCCAUAAAUAACAUAGGGCAUGUGUGCAUACUUUGGAUAAUUAUAUAAAUUGCACUAUGUGCAAGUUUCUGUGACGUGCUUUGAUUUUUGCUCAACAUUCUUUUUUGAGACUUAGCUCUGCUGUUAUAUGUCGCACUGGUGCAUCCAUUUUCACUGCUGUAUUGUAUUCCACUGUAGCACCACCCUCACAUUUGUUUAUUCAUUCUCUAGUUGAUGGUCAUCUGGUUGUUUCCACUUCUUGCCACAACUAAUGAUGCUGCAGUAAACAUUAUGACCCAGGUCUGCAUGUGCACGUUUCCGUAGACGCAUAUGUUUCCAAGUAGAAUUGUUGUCUUGAAGGGUACGGAUAUCUCGGUUUUACUGGAUGUUGGCUGGAUUGCUCUCCAAAGGGUUGCAUCUGUUAAUAUUCCCACUAGUUGCAUAUGAAAGUCCUGGUUGCUCCACACUUGUUACACUGCCAUUUUUGCCAAUCAGAUGGAUGCAGAAAGGUUGGUAUACACUUUGAAUGACAGGGGAGCUCCUUUCCCAGACCUUUUUCCUGGAUGUUCAGGAAACAGUGUGCUUCCACCUUAGCACUGGCAGAGGACCAGAGUAUUGUUGAGGUGAAGCUUAAAAAGAUCAAAUCCCGGAGUUCCCAUUGUGGCUCAGCAGAGACGAAUCUGACUAACAUCCAUGAGGACACAGGUUUGAUCCCUGGCCUUGCUGUGGCUGUGGUGUAGGCCAGUGGCUACAGCUCUGAUUCGACCCCUAGCCUGGGGUCAAAUAUGCCAUAUGCCCUUGGUGUGGCCCUAAAAAG